rnacentral:rRNA from 1 species
CAGUAACGGCGAGUGAAGCGGCAACAGCUCAAAUUUGAAAUCUGGCUCCUUCGGGGUCCGAAUUGUAAUUUGUAGAGAGUGCUUCGGGCGAGACCUCGGUCUAAGUCCAUUGGAACAUGGUGUCAUAGAGGGUGAGAAUCCCGUAUGCGACCGUGGCUCGAGCCCAUGUGAAGCCUCUUCGACGAGUCGAGUUGUUUGGGAAUGCAGCUCAAAAUGGGUGGUAAAUUUCAUCUAAAGCUAAAUACUGGCUGGAGACCGAUAGCGCACAAGUAGAGUGAUCGAAAGACGAAAAGCACUUUGGAAAGAGAGUUAAACAGUACGUGAAAUUGUUGAAAGGGAAGCGCUUGCAACCAGACCUGCCCGUAGGCGAUCCGCCGCUGUUCUCAGCGGUGUACUCGCUCUGCGAUCAGGCCAGCAUCGGUUUCGGCGGUCGGAUAAAGGCCUUGGGAAUGUAGCUUCCCUUCGGGGGAGUCUUAUAGCCCUCGGUGCAAUGCGGCCAGCCGGGACCGAGGACCGCGCUUCGGCUAGGAUGCUGGCGUAAUGGUUGUAAGCGACCCGUCUUGAAACACGGACCAAGGAGUCUAACAUCUAUGCGAGUGUUUGGGUGUCAAACCCAUACGCGGAAUGAAAGUGAACGGAGGUGAGAACCCUUAAGGGCGCAUCAUCGACCGAUCCAGAUGUCUUCGGAUGGAUUUGAGUAGGAGCAUAGCUGUUGGGACCCGAAAGAUGGUGAACUAUGCCUGAAUAGGGUGAAGCCAGAGGAAACUCUGGUGGAGGCUCGCAGCGGUUCUGACGUGCAAAUCGAUCGUCAAAUUUGGGUAUAGGGGCGAAAGACUAAUC